UACGUAGGGUGCAAGCGUUAAUCGGAAUUACUGGGCGUAAAGCGUGCGCUAGGCGGCUUUGCAAGACAGAUGUGAAAUCCCCGGGCUUAACCUGGGAACUGCAUUUGUGACUGCAUGGCUGGAGUGCGGCAGAGGGGGAUGGAAUUCCGCGUGUAGCAGUGAAAUGCGUAGAUAUGCGGAGGAACACCGAUGGCGAAGGCAAUCCCCUGGGCCUGCAC
rnacentral:rRNA from 1 species